rnacentral:rRNA from 1 species
AGAGUUUGAUCCUGGCUCAGGAUGAACGCUGGCGGCGUGCUUAACACAUGCAAGUCGAACGAUCCUUCGGGAUAGUGGCGGACGGGUGAGUAACGCGUGGGAAUCUGCCCUUAGGAGGGGGAUAACGGCUGGAAACGGCCGCUAAUACCCCAUAUGCCGAGAGGUGAAAGGAAAUUCGCCUGAGGAUGAGCCCGCGUCUGAUUAGCUAGUUGGUGGGGUAAAGGCCUACCAAGGCGACGAUCAGUAGCUGGUCUGAGAGGAUGAUCAGCCACACUGGGACUGAGACACGGCCCAGACUCCUACGGGAGGCAGCAGUGGGGAAUUUUCCGCAAUGGGCGAAAGCCUGACGGAGCAACGCCGCGUGGGGGAUGAAGGCCUCUGGGCUGUAAACCCCUUUCCCCAAGGAAGAAGACAUGACGGUACUUGAGGAAUAAGCCACGGCUAAUUCCGUGCCAGCAGCCGCGGUAAUACGGGAGUGGCAAGCGUUAUCCGGAAUUAUUGGGCGUAAAGCGUCCGCAGGCGGCUCUGUAAGUCUGUUGUUAAAGCGUGGAGCUCAACUCCAUUUCAGCAAUGGAAACUACAGGGCUUGAGUGUGGUAGGGGCAGAGGGAAUUCCCGGUGUAGCGGUGAAAUGCGUAGAUAUCGGGAAGAACACCAGUGGCGAAGGCGCUCUGCUGGGCCAUAACUGACGCUCAUGGACGAAAGCCAGGGGAGCGAAAGGGAUUAGAUACCCCUGUAGUCCUGGCCGUAAACGAUGAACACUAGGUGUCGGGGGAAUCGACCCCCUCGGUGUCGUAGCCAACGCGUUAAGUGUUCCGCCUGGGGAGUACGCACGCAAGUGUGAAACUCAAAGGAAUUGACGGGGGCCCGCACAAGCGGUGGAGUAUGUGGUUUAAUUCGAUGCAACGCGAAGAACCUUACCAGGGUUUGACAUCCUGCGAACCCCUGAGAAAUCGGGGGGUGCCUUCGGGAGCGCAGAGACAGGUGGUGCAUGGCUGUCGUCAGCUCGUGUCGUGAGAUGUUGGGUUAAGUCCCGCAACGAGCGCAACCCACGUCUUUAGUUGCCAGCAUUCAGUUGGGCACUCUAGAGAGACCGCCGGUGAUAAACCGGAGGAAGGUGUGGAUGACGUCAAGUCAUCAUGCCCCUUACAUCCUGGGCUACACACGUACUACAAUGCUACGGACAAAGGGCAGCAAGCUCGCGAGAGUUAGCAAAUCCCAUAAACCGUGGCUCAGUUCAGAUCGUAGGCUGCAACUCGCCUACGUGAAGGAGGAAUCGCUAGUAAUCGCAGGUCAGCAUACUGCGGUGAAUACGUUCCCGGGCCUUGUACACACCGCCCGUCACACCAUGGAAGUUGGCCAUGCCCGAAGUCGUUACUCCAACCCUUGUGGAGGAGGACGCCGAAGGUGGGGCUGAUGACUGGGGUGAAGUCGUAACAAGGUA